rnacentral:rRNA from 1 species
UACAGAGGUCCCGAGCGUUGUUCGGAUUCAUUGGGCGUAAAGGGUGCGUAGUCGGCGGGGCAAGUCUGAUGUGAAAUCCCGGGGCUCAACCCCGGAACUGCAUUGGAUACUGCCUUGCUUGAGUACUGGAGAGGGAACUGGAAUUUACGGUGUAGCAGUGAAAUGCGCAGAUAUCAGGAGGAACACCGAUGGCGAAGGCAGGUCUCUGGGCCGCAACUGACGCUGAGGAGCGAAAGCAUGGGGAGCGAACAGG